rnacentral:lncRNA from 15 species
UAGAUAUGUUUUUAUUAGUGUAUAAUCACCUGGAUAUAGGAAUCAAUGUGUUUUUGUUACCUUAGAAUGGGUAAUCGAAUCUGCAUUCACAACAAAUAAGGAAUAACCGUAUAUGCAGGACUAACAGCAACAUUAUCUUUUUCAGAUCCCCCUAAGAACACCACAGUUUCAGUUGACCCCUCUGGUCCAGUGGUAGAUGGCACCUCUGUAACUCUGACCUGCACAAGCAUCGCCAAUCCAGCGGCAGUUAACUUCACCUGGUUCAGAGUGGCUGGAAGAGAAAAGGAGAUGGUGGGCUCUGAGCAACACUUCAUCUUCAACGUGACCAAACUCUCAGAGGACCAGUAUUACUGUGAAGCUCUGAAUGUCCACGGAGCUGAAUGCUCAGAGCUGGCCAGUUUUGAUGUCACAUUUGCUCCAGAGAUCCUGCCUUCUUCCCGUUGCGUCAAGAUUUUAUCCCAGAUCCGAUGCACCUGCGACAGCCAGGCGAACCCUCCUCCCUCCCUGGUUUGGGAAUUGGCCGGGGAGCUUGUCAAUCACUCAGCUGACAUCCCAAUCAGGGAAGUUCCCAUGGGAAGUGUGGGCAUGAGGAGCCUUAUCACCUUGUACCGUCUGGAUGGAGACAUGCCCUCUUUAGUCUGCCUUAGCAUCAACUCACUGGGCUCAGAUAGUUUUGUGUUCAACGUGUCCUCCAGUGAAACUCAGCUAGGCCUCCAUGCUGUGUCUCUUUUGAUUGGCUCUGCAGUGGGAGCACUGGGGAUGCUGCUGGUGUGUGUCCCGCUGCUGCUGUUCUUUUGCAGGAAAAGGAAAGGCAGCCUUUCACCCGACAAGGGAGUUGUUGACACUUCAGACAUUUUAGUUACUAAUGAGACCAACUCUUCACAAGUGGAUGUGAUUUAUGUCAAUAAAGCCAUUCUGGAACAGGAUGGAGUAGUUGAGGAAGACUCUCUGCACUACGCCAAUGUGGACUUUGUUAAACUCCAGGCCAAGUCAGAGGGUAAGCUUGGGGAUGGGGAGAUCAAAGGCCUGGCCUCCAAGACAGCGGAGUAUGCUGAGAUCCGUCUGCACUCCAGAGGAGUUAACGGAGGAGACAGAAAGGAAGAAGAGACAGUUGCUGAUACUCACUAA